GACCUCACUUCUAUAGCACACAUAACAACACUGAAAUAUUACAGAGAUUAGCAUAGCUCCUGUGCCAGGCAGACUCACAAAUUUGUGAAGCUGGCAUAUUUUU